GAAAAGCACCCCGGGAGGGGAGUGAAACAGUACCUGAAACCGUGCGCCCACGAGCAGUCGGAGCACCUUUAUGGUGUGACGGCGUGCCUUUUGUAGAAUGAGCCAGCGAGUCGCUGGCGCGGGGCGAGGUUAACCGAAAGGGAGCCGGAGCGAAAGCGAGCCUUAACAGGGCGACUUGAGUCCCGCGCCGCGGACGCGAAGCCGGGUGAGCUAUCCGUGGGCAGGCUGAAGCGGGGGUAAGACCCCGUGGAGGGCCGAACGCACGUCGGUUGAAAACGGCGGCGAUGACCUGCGGAUAGGGGUGAAAGGCCAAUCAAACCCGGAGAUAUCUCGUUCUCCCCGAAAUAGCUUUAGGGCUAGCGUCGCGCGUUCACCGCCGGAGGUAGAGCACCGGAUGGACGAGGGGGCUUCGCCGCCUACCGAAUCCAACCGAACUCCGAAUGCCGGCGGCCCAGAGCGCGGCAGUCAGAGCAUGUGGGCUAAGCUGUGUGCUCGAGAGGGAAACAGCCCGGACCGCCCGCUAAGGUCCCCAAGUUCCAGCCGAGUGGCAAAGGAUGUGCGUCCGCCCAGACAACCAGGAUGUUGGCUUAGAAGCAGCCAUCCAUUCAAAGAGUGCGUAACAGCUCACUGGUCGAGUGGACAUGCGCCGACAAUACACGGGGCUAAGCUGGACACCGAAGCGGCGGGAUUUUAAUUCAUUAGAAUCGGUAGGGGAGCUUCCCAUGGGCGGAGAAGCCGGAGGGCGACCGACGGUGGAGCGCAUGGGAGUGAGAAUGCUGGCAUGAGUAGCGAGAGACGAGAGAGUAACUCGUCCGCCGUGAACCCGAGGUUUCCUGGGCAAGGCUAAUCCUCCCAGGGUCAGUCGGGGGCUAAGGCGAGGCCGGAAGGCGUAGCCGACGCGCAGCAGGCAGACAUUCCUGCACCGCGCACGCGGCGCUACGACCGACGGGGCGACGGAUGGGGGUGGCUCGGCGGGGUUCUGGACGUCCCCGUGAUGGAGCGCGGCCCGCGGACCAGGGAAAUCCGGUCCGCAGAAGGGCGAGGCUCCGGACGAAGCGACUGAGCGAAGCGAGUGAGCCCGAGGUCCCUAGAAAAACCCCUAGGCAGGCGCGUGCGCGCCCGUACCGCAAACCGACACAGGUGGGUGGGUAGAACAUACCGAGGCGAUCGGGUCAACCAUGGUCAAGGAACUCGGCACAAUGGCCCCGUAACUUCGGGAGAAGGGGUGCCCGCGCGUACGUGAACCGGCUUGCCCGGGGAGCGGAGGCGGGCCGCAGUGGAGAGGCCCAAGCGACUGUUUACCAAAAACACAGGACUCUGCAGAAGCCGCAAGGCGACGUAUAGGGUCUGACGCCUGCCCGGUGCCGGAAGGUCACGCGGAGGAGUUAGCUUUCGAGCGAAGCCCCGAAGCCAAGCCCCGGUAAACGGCGGCCGUAACUAUAACGGUCCUAAGGUAGCGAAAUUCCUUGUCGGGUAAGUUCCGACCUGCACGAAAGGCGCAACGACUUGGGCGCUGUCUCGACCAUGGACCCGGUGAAAUUGCACUGGUCGUGAAGAUGCGACUUACCCGCGGAAGGACGGAAAGACCCCGUGAACCUUCACUGCAGCUUGGCAUUGGCCGCUGGUCCCGCGUGUAGAGGAUAGGCAGGAGGCACAGAUCCGGAGGCGCCAGCCCCCGGGGAGCCGCCCUUGGAAUACUGCCCUCGCGCGACCGGCGUCCUAACCCGAGGCCGUCAACCGGCUCGGGGACCGUGCCAGGCGGGCAGUUUGACUGGGGCGGUCGCCUCCUAAAGGGUAACGGAGGCGCGCGAAGGUCCGCUCGGGACGGUCGGCAACCGUCCUUUUGAAUGCAAGAGUACAAGCGGGCUUGACUGCGAGGCCCACAAGCCGAGCAGGUGCGAAAGCAGGCUCUAGUGAUCCGGCGGCCCCGAGUGGGUGGGCCGUCGCUCAACGGAUAAAAGGUACUCCGGGGAUAACAG
rnacentral:rRNA from 1 species